GGUUCCAUAGUGUAGUGGUCAUCACGUCUGCUUUACACGCAGAAGGUCCUGGGUUCAAUCCCCAGUGGAACCA
rfam:Larimichthys crocea isolate SSNF unplaced genomic scaffold scaffold656, whole genome shotgun sequence.